rnacentral:rRNA from 1 species
AAACCAACAGGGAUUGCCUUAGUAACGGCGAGUGAAGCGGCAAAAGCUCAAAUUUGAAAUCUGGCACUUUCAGUGUCCGAGUUGUAAUUUGAAGAAGGUAACUUUGGAAUUGGCCCUUGUCUAUGUUCCUUGGAACAGGACGUCACAGAGGGUGAGAAUCCCGUGCGAUGAGGUGACCAAUUCUAUGUAAAGUGCUUUCGAAGAGUCGAGUUGUUUGGGAAUGCAGCUCUAAGUGGGUGGUAAAUUCCAUCUAAAGCUAAAUAUUGGCGAGAGACCGAUAGCGAACAAGUACAGUGAUGGAAAGAUGAAAAGAACUUUGAAAAGAGAGUGAAAAAGUACGUGAAAUUGUUGAAAGGGAAGGGCUUGAGAUCAGACUUGGUAUUUUGCGUUCCCUUCCUUUUUGGUUGGGUUCCUCGCAGUUUACUGGGCCAGCAUCGGUUUGGAUGGUAGGAUAAUGACAUUGGAAUGUGGCUCUACUUCGGUGGAGUGUUAUAGACUUUGUUGAUACUACCUAUCUAGACCGAGGACUGCGUCUUUGACUAGGAUGCUGGCGUAAUGAUCUUAAGCCGC